rnacentral:rRNA from 1 species
UAUGUGAUCGUCUCUCGCAUAUCAAUAAGCGGAGGAAAAGAAACUAACAAGGAUUCCCCUAGUAACGGCGAGUGAAGCGGGAAGAGCUCAAAUUUGAAAUCUUAAAGGGUUUCCCUUUACGAAUUGUAGUUUAAAGAAGUGUUUUCUGUUGAGGUUUUGGUAAAAGUUCUUUGGAAUAGGACAUCAUAGAGGGUGAGAAUCCCGUAUUUGACCUUUACUUUCAACUUUGUGAUACACUUUCAAAGAGUCGGAUUGUUUGGGAAUGCAGUCCAAAAUGGGUGGUAAAUUUCAUCUAAAGCUAAAUAUUGGCGAGAGACCGAUAGCGAACAAGUACCGUGAGGGAAAGAUGAAAAGAACUUUGAAAAGAGAGUUAAACAGUACGUGAAAUUGUCAAAAGGGAAGCGUUUGACACCAGUGUUGUUUUUCUGAAAAUCAAUUAAAGAACUGUUUAUGCUAAGUUGUUUAGACUUUAUCAGCUAACUGUUUAGUUUUGAGCUUUUCUUUAAUGCACUUUUCAGUUAACAAGUCAACAUCAAUUUCUUUUGCUGUAAAAAAGCUUGAGGAAGGUGGCUUGAGAUUCGUCUUAAGUGUUUAUAGCCUCUUGCCUAUGCAGUCGGAGAGAUUGAGGUCUGCAGCGUAGAUCCUUCGGGGCUAAAUGCAUUUGUGCUAAGUUAUAGCAUUUUAUAGACAACUUGUUGACUAUGAUUUGUCUUGUAGCUUACUCGCUUAUGUUAUUUUACCUACGCUUAGGAUGUUGAUAGUCACAGCGUGUAC